UACAGAGGUCCCAAGCGUUGUUCGGAUUUACUGGGCGUAAAGGGUGCGUAGGUGGUGAGGUAAGUCUGAUGUGAAAUCUCCGAGCUUAACUCGGAAAUGGCAUUGGAAACUACCUGACUUGAGGGUUUGAGGGGGGACUGGAAUACUUGGUGUAGCAGUGAAAUGCGUAGAUAUCAAGUGGAACACCAGUGGCGAAGGCGAGUCCCUGGAAAAUACCUGACACUGAGGCACGAAAGCUAGGGGAGCAAACAGG
rnacentral:rRNA from 1 species